GACGAACGCUGGCGGCGUGCUUAACACAUGCAAGUCGAGCGGUAAGGCCCUUUCGGGGGUACACGAGCGGCGAACGGGUGAGUAACACGUGGGUGACCUGCCCUCGGCUCUGGGAUAAGCCUGGGAAACCGGGUCUAAUACUGGAUAUGACUCCAUGACGCAUGUUGUGGGGUGGAAAGCCUUGUGCGGCUGAGGAUGGGCCCGCGGCCUAUCAGCUUGUUGGUGGGGUGAUGGCCUACCAAGGCGACGACGGGUAGCCGGCCUGAGAGGGCGACCGGCCACACUGGGACUGAGACACGGCCCAGACUCCUACGGGAGGCAGCAGUGGGGAAUAUUGGACAAUGGGCGCAAGCCUGAUCCAGCGAUGCCGCGUGUGUGAAGAAGGCCUGGCGGGUUGUAAAGCAC
rnacentral:rRNA from 1 species